GUCCACGGCCAUGCCACCCCUGAACGUGCCCGAUCUCGUCUGAUCUCGGAAGCUAAGCAGGGUCGGGCCUGGUUAGUACUUGGUUAGGAGACCACCUAGGAAGACCAGGUGCUACAGGCA
rnacentral:rRNA from 1 species